CGGAGACAGAGACCGGCGCACGGGUGCGUAACGCGUAUGCAAUCUACCUUUCACAGAGGGAUAGCCCAGAGAAAUUUGGAUUAAUACCUCAUAGUAUAGUACCUUGGCAUCAAGGAGCUAUUAAAGUCACAACGGUGAAAGAUGAGCAUGCGUCCCAUUAGCUAGUUGGUAUGGUAACGGCAUACCAAGGCAACGAUGGGUAGGGGUCCUGAGAGGGAGAUCCCCCACACUGGUACUGAGACACGGACCAGACUCCUACGGGAGGCAGCAGUGAGGAAUAUUGGACAAUGGGCGCAAGCCUGAUCCAGCCAUGCCGCGUGCAGGAUGACGGUCCUAUGGAUUGUAAACUGCUUUUAUACGAGAAGAAACCCUGCUACGUGUAGCAGCUUGACGGUAUCGUAAGAAUAAGGAUCGGCUAACUCCGUGCCAGCAGCCGCGGUAAUACGGAGGAUCCAAGCGUUAUCCGGAAUCAUUGGGUUUAAAGGGUCCGUAGGCGGUCAGAUAAGUCAGUGGUGAAAGCCCAUCGCUCAACGGUGGAACGGCCAUUGAUACUGUCUGACUUGAAUUAUUAGGAAGUAACUAGAAUAUGUAGUGUAGCGGUGAAAUGCUUAGAGAUUACAUGGAAUACCAAUAGCGAAGGCAGGUUACUACUAAUAUAU
rnacentral:rRNA from 1 species